UGGGGAAUAUUGCACAAUGGGCGCAAGCCUGAUGCAGCCAUGCCGCGUGUGUGAAGAAGGCCUUCGGGUUGUAAAGCACUUUCAGCGGGGAGGAAGGCGUUAAGGUUAAUAACCUUGGCGAUUGACGUUACCCGCAGAAGAAGCACCGGCUAACUCCGUGCCAGCAGCCGCGGUAAUACGGAGGGUGCAAGCGUUAAUCGGAAUUACUGGGCGUAAAGCGCACGCAGGCGGUCUGUCAAGUCGGAUGUGAAAUCCCCGGGCUCAACCUGGGAACUGCAUUCGAAACUGGCAGGCUAGAGUCUUGUAGAGGGGGGUAGAAUUCCAGGUGUAGCGGUGAAAUGCGUAGAGAUGUGGAGGAAUACCGGUGGCGAAGGCGGCCCCCUGGACAAAGACUGACGCUCAGGUGCGAAAGCGUGGGGAGCAAACAGGA
rnacentral:rRNA from 1 species